GUGGCCGCCGCUCCGGAGCCCGGCGAGCCCGCGAAGGGGAAGCUCUUUAAGCUCCUAGGCAUUUCAGGUGUUGAAAAUAUUCCCUGUGCCCGGGAUUCAAUAUUGUAUGGUUCAUUAGGAUCUGUUGUGGCUGGCUUUGGACUUUUUUUUUGUUAACUAGUAGAAUUAGAAAAUCAUGUGAUGUUGGAGUAGGAGGAUUUAUCUUGGUGACUUUGGGAUGCUGGUUUCAUUGUAGGUAUAAUUAUGCAAAGCAAAGAAUCCAGGAAAGAAUUGCCAGAGAAGGAAUUAAAAAUAAGAUAUUAUGUGAAAGUACCCAUCUUGAUCCUGAAAGAAAAGAAACCAAGGGCAACAGCAGCAA
rnacentral:lncRNA from 1 species